CAUGCCCUGCAGAUGCCAGGCUUGGCACCACAGAUGCCGCUCCUCGGCUGUACCCAUGACAGCAGGGCACAGAAAAAAAGGUUAUUUCUAUAAUCAAUGCCCAGAUCUAUUGGCACUAAGAAUAGUUUGUUGCCUCACACUG